AAGCUCGUAGUUGAAUUUCGGGUUAGUAGGUUGGUCAUGCCUCUGGUAUGUACUGGUCUCACUGAUUCCUCCUUCCUUAUGAACCGUAAUGCCAUUAAUUUGGUGUUGCGGGGAAUUUGGACUGUUACUUUGAAAAAAUUAGAGUGUUUAAAGCAAGCUAACGCUUGAAUACAUUAGCAUGGAAUAAUGAAAUAGGACGUUCGAUCUUAUUUUGUUGGUUUCUUAGGAUUGGCGUAAUGAUUAAUAGGAUAGUUGG
rnacentral:rRNA from 1 species